rnacentral:rRNA from 1 species
AUUGAACGCUGGCGGCAUGCCUUACACAUGCAAGUCGAACGGCAGCACGGGAGCAAUCCUGGUGGCGAGUGGCGAACGGGUGAGUAAUAUAUCGGAACGUGCCCAGUCGUGGGGAUAACGUAGCGAAAGCUACGCUAAUACCGCAUACGAUCUACGGAUGAAAGCGGGGGAUCGCAAGACCUCGCGCGAUUGGAGCGGCCGAUAUCAGAUUAGGUAGUUGGUGAGGUAAAGGCUCACCAAGCCGACGAUCUGUAGCUGGUCUGAGAGGACGACCAGCCACACUGGGACUGAGACACGGCCCAGACUCCUACGGGAGGCAGCAGUGGGGAAUUUUGGACAAUGGACGCAAGUCUGAUCCAGCCAUUCCGCGCGCAGGAUGAAGGCCCUCGGGUUGUAAACUGCUUUUGUACGGAACGAAAAGGUUUCUCUUAAUACGAGGAGCUCAUGACGGUACCGUAAGAAUAAGCACCGGCUAACU